rnacentral:ncRNA from 2 species
GUAGAGUAAUAAGAUAUCCCUCAUAUAUGCAAAGGAAUUGGCCUUUGUGUUUCUACCAGGACACCGUAAUGUCCGGACUAUGCGGGAAGAGCACUUCAUC